GGAGUCGUCGCAUAGUUGGUCUAGUGCGCCACAUUGGAAAUGUGGUAUACCGGCAACGGUAUCAAGGGUUCGAAUCCCUUCGACUCCGCCA
rnacentral:tRNA from 2 species